ACUCUAGGAAAACUGUGACUCAAUUCAUUACUACAGACCCUACCCCACCACAACCUCUGGAUAUGACUGUUGAAAAAAGUCAUUACAGUUGGAAGAAAUGCUCAAAUGCAUGUCAUACAAUUGGAUUUAAGCAAUGGGGUCUCCAGGGUGAAAAUUUCUUCUGAAUUUGGACCUGAACUAGGUGCCUUCGUAUUAACAUAAUGUACACUUUAGUUUUAUAAAUAUGUACUUUAAGACAUAUCUAGGAAAGUAUAACUCACUACUCACUUCCCUUGGUUUUUUCAUUUACUGAAGGAAAAUGAUUAAUAUACCAAUUUUUGAACUUAUUAAAUGCUCUCUUUUUUGUUGGGAAAGUGUUCUGUUGCUAGAGGCGAUUACCCAGUAGCUCUUAACAAUCAAAGCCAUUGUGACCAAGAUUUAUGACAAGACCCCAAACCAUUCGCUCUGAAGAUUUCAUGCCUUUAUUUUGGACACAGCAUUACCAAAUGCAAUGCACACCUCUGACACUUUUAGGUCAGACUAUCGCUGCAUAUACCACUCACCAGGACUGCACAAAUUCAGUUCAUGACACAGAUCUCAUAAUGAAGGUAGUUAGGAAUUUGCCAGGAAAUAGAACUCAUUGUGGCACCUGACAAUGUUGUGUUUUUCUCCAACUGCAGUUAAAGAUCAUGAAUUUUAUCAAAAGGAUAGACUAACUUGAGACGAGCCCAGUGAAGACACUGCAGGACACAGCUCAGUUCCAGGGAGCCUCUAUAUGUGCAUAAAUAGAGCACGUACAGGGAAUUCCCCAGUAAACAAAAAGGACUGUUCCUGUGAAGGGUGAGAACAUUCCCCUCUUGACAGGAACCUUGAGCAGCAGUGAAAACCAUUAAUGAUGCCACAAUGAAGCCAGGUUUCAAGAUUUCAAUAUUGUGCCUCUAUAGAUAAGCACAAUAAGAAAUACAUGCAUCAAAGCAAGCAAGAACUAUAUGGCAAGCAGGGAGGCUCCAAGGGUGGCUUCUGUGAGAAGCCGUAGAAGCUUUCCCGCAGGGUAGUCAUGCUGGAGCAGUUUGUGAAGAACUGCAGCCUGUGGGAAGAAUUCACAUUGGAGAAGUCCGUAGUGGGCUUCUCUCCACGGGACCCCACACUGCAGCAGGGGCAGAGUGUGAGGAGUCUUCCCGCUGAGGAGGAAGGAGAGGCAGAGACAUGUGAUGAACUGACUGCAGCCCCCACUCCCUGUCUCCUGCGCUGCUGGGGGGGAGGAUGUAGAGAAAAUCAAGAGUGAAGCUGAGCCUGGAAUAAAGGGAGGGGUGGAGGGAAGUUGUUUUAAAGAUUUAGUUUUAUUUUCUCAUUACCCUACUCUGAUUUGAUAGGCAACAAAUAAAACUAAUUGCCCCCAGUUGAGUCUGUUCUGCCCAUGAUGGUAAGUGGUGAGUGAUCUCUCCCUGUCCUUAUCUCGACCC